UACGUAGGGUGCAAGCGUUAAUCGGAAUUACUGGGCGUAAAGCGUGCGCAGGCGGUUUGGUAAGACAGAUGUGAAAUCCCCGGGCUCAACCUGGGAAUUGCAUUUGUGACUGCCCGACUAGAGUGUGUCAGAGGGGGGUAGAAUUCCACGUGUAGCAGUGAAAUGCGUAGAGAUGUGGAGGAAUACCGAUGGCGAAGGCAGCCCCCUGGGAUAACACUGACGCUCAUGCACGAAAGCGUGGGGAGCAACAGG
rnacentral:rRNA from 1 species